rnacentral:lncRNA from 1 species
UGACAGUGUUAAAAAUCUUUCUCUCAGAAUAAGUUUAUAUCUGAAUUAAGAAAUGCUAAAUAAGUCUGAGACCUGGCUAGACCUGGGAAUAGAGGAAAGGAGAAGGAAAGAACCACAGAGACUGGCAUCUCAGGAAGGUACCACUUUGGAGUAUCGCUAAUCAAGGAACCUUAUAAGUUGCUGAAGAAUGGAAAUUUCUAUAUAUGGACAAAGCAUAAACAACUGUUAACAUGUUGUCUAAGAACUCUUGUAUCCAAUCAAUAGACCAAAGGCAAGACUACACAGGAUUAAAGGAGGAGAUGAUAAAAAUCAGAACAAAGCUGGAACCUUUUAUCUAAAGACCAUGAGGCUGAUGCAAGACUCUCUGAGAUGGUUCACUGCAGCAGGGGUGUAUUGAAUAACCAUGGAGCUCUGACAAUGAAACAAGCAUAAAAAGAAGCCUGAUCUAUGAACAUUUUUCAUGAAAUUGGAAUCAUUUCUGGCACGAUUCUCUCCCACUCUACAGUUGUGAAAAGCACUCUUAUGAAUUGCUGGAUAUCAUCCCAAGUGGGCUAUGACAGGUUACAUGCUCACCACUGGAAAUCAUCCCCAUGACUCAGGACAAUCCUCAGCAGAGUAGAGUGUUGCUGUUCCAUGUCCAAAAAAUUUCAUCAGCCCCAGUCCAAGAACACACAGAAAGAUAAUCAAGACGCAGACAAAUUGCCCCAUCACUGAUGGAAGAAUCCAGUUACUCAGGUGACACGGCAAGCUUAUGCUGGGACCAGGUCUGAUGGAGGGGAGCCCUCCCUACUUUCUCUAGGGGAUCUGAAGCGUCCUUCAGGCUCCCUCCGUCUUGACGUUGAGACACGUCAGCCUGCCACUCUUAACUGCCCCAAACACCAUGGGCUCUCAGAGCUCCCCAGAGGCUUGCAAGCAAACCAAAAGUUCAUUCAGGCUUAUUAUAGACUCAAACUUUGACAAAGAGCAAGACAGACAAAAACAAAAACAAAAACAAAAAACAUGGUACCUGCUUGAGAUGUCCAAUUCACCACUCUCAGGUGUAUCCCCACAGGAGGUCAGAUUCCCAGCCAAUGCACCAAAUGUAAGUCUCUGAGGAGCCUUAGCUUACUGGGGAACCCUGAGUGAACAACAUGGAGCCAGGAAUCAAUGCAAAAAGCAAGAGGAAUUUAUUGUUCCAACAUGUUGGGGUCGUUUUACACCCGGCAGAGAAGUGGCAACCUCAGGCAGCCCAUUCAGAGAAGAGGGGUCUGGUGGAAGUUUUCACAGUUCCUGAGUUGACCUCUUCAGUGUCCUCCAAGCUCCAACUGUUCACGGAUACCAUUCUGCUUCUAAGCACUGCAUGCUAAUGGAUGUACCUCUGGAAGCAGUUUUUGGAAAUGAUUAGAAAGGAAAGAAUAUGUCAUUUGUUGGAGUGUCGAUGAAGCAGAAGAUACAGAGGCACAGGAGAAAAGCUGCUCAGAGUGGCUCUUUGGAUGCCACCACCAAAUGGGGUUCACAUGUUCCAAAAGCUACAUCUCAGGCAAAUGAGGAAUAAAAAGUGGAUUUGACAGUUUUCUGCAGUGUAUAAAGCACAAGGAAAAUAACUCAUACUAAUAAAACUCACACCCACACAAGAAGGGUUGUAAAAUCAACAUUCCUGCCCACUAGUUUUGUUUGGUAAAAGGGAAUGUCUGACUAGAUCCAUGUUUCCAUCAGCUGUCAACAUACUUUACCUUCUUAAGAAAAUCCUCCCGGGAAGACACAGGGUAAAAUAUCGUCCACGUAUGGGACUGGGGCGGAGGCUCAGAUGUCCUCCUGGGAAGACAAAGAGUAAAAUAUCGUCCACGUAUGGGACUGGGGUGGAGGCUCAGGUGCUCAGAUUUUGGAUUAAUUCAGUGACUAGGGUUGUUUGUUUGUUUUGCUUUGUUUUGUUGGGUUUGUUUUUUGUUUUUUUGGUUUUGGGUUUUUUUGUUUGUUUGUUUUUUUAAGGCAGGAGAGAUGACUCUGCAGUUAAGAGCACUUGAAACUUCUGCAGAGGACCUGGGUUCAGUCCCCAGAACCCACAUGUUGGCUCACAAUUAUCUGUAGCUCAAAUUGCAAGGGGGUAUAAUGCCCUCUUCUGUCUUCUGCAGACUUCAAAAUGAGAUGGUCCACAUGUAUACUCUCAGGCACACACACAUACACAUAAAAUAAGUAAAUCUAUUUUAUUUAGCAUUGUUAGUGUGGGGCCUCGCAGAAGCAGCUUCACUAACUUUGGGAAACGUUUUUAGGUUCCUGAUGCAGCAGUCCAGGCAUCUACCCUUUAACAAGCUCUCCAAGUGAGUCUUAUGCCUGCCAAAACCUGAGAGCCACUUGGCUUAAUGGGCAUGGAGCUCGGAAGAAGAGCUACACAGACCAUCCAUUCAUGGAAAAAACAGUAAUGCAGCAAUCCUCUGCAAGAACACAGACAAAAACAAAGUCCCCUUCCUGAAGCAGCUCCCUUUACUAGGAGAGAAAGUGUGGAGAGAUCUUAAAUUCAGUGAUGGUCCUUGUAUGUGCUUAUUGUUAGAAACUGGGUGAAAACACAGGGUGCACUUAAAGAAAGUG